UCCCUCUGCUUGUAAGUAUAAUUCAGUAUAAGAUUUGUGGGAUUUUUUGGGUUAAUAAUUGUCUAAAUUUUUUUUGCAAGAUUUUUCAACGGCUUUAGAAGCCGAAGAUGCCAAUGAAGUAAUAGAAACCUUGUCUAGCAAAACAAUAGGAGAAGUCAAGAGUGUCUUGAUGUUUCCCGAGGUUGUUAAGGAUCCGUAUCUGUGGAUGACCACUAGGGAAAAACUUUGGUACGAAAUGAGAAAAUGCAAUGCUAGAGACAAGUGCAUGAUAAGCCACAUGUGCCACCGUAUGUAUCUUCUCGUUGCAAGAGGACUUAAAGUUAAUACAGAGUUUGUAGAUUUUUGUGGAAAGGCAGAAGAACUUGAUAGUUUAAUGCAAGCGACUCAUCUGAAGCUUGAUAACCCUGUUGAAGGCUUUUGCAGUGAACGAUUUGUGAUUGAUUUUACCUCUUCCUAUGGGUUUUCACAUUUGAUUGACCGCAGCUUUGUUUUAGCAACAAUCGGUGCCAUGGAGCCAUAAAGUUGCUUAAGUGUUCUCGAUGCAGUGAGAGAGGUGCUUUCACGUGAUACAACUCAUACAAGGCAAUUGGCUAUGAUGGUAGAAGCAUGAAGUGAUUUGAAAUGCCUUGAAAAAAUGUUGAUUUACCCGGGGAAAGAGCCAAGACAGGGUAUUGUAUAUGCCGAAAUCCGCCGGGCUUUUGGGAGCGAGAUGUAUUUUAAUUUUACUGGUCAUUUAACAUCUCUUAAAGUAAUUACAAAUGCAGUCUCAGUAAAUGAAUGGGUCCUCACUAGCACAAAUACAAAUACUGUUGGCUUCACCAACAGUUUUGUGAUUUCAGUAAAUGGCUCAAAGUUUUACCUUUAUAUUCACAAGGUCUCGUCUGGCACGUGUAACUAAGAUAGCAUCGUGUAGAAUUCUUUUUUUUUUGCUUUGAAACAUCACAUAUUUUGUUGACAACUUUUUGCAGUUAUUCUGGUUUAUGGGGAGAAUAUUGAAGAAAAUCAAAGGAUGGGGCUUCUGACACAACUUCGAACAUGUAAGCUUUAGGGCCUGUGAGAGAUUUAGUUCUUAGAGCUAAUGGUGGGGGAGAGUACACUGAUAAAUCUGAGGAUUGCAGACUACAUCUUAACUAUUGCUUUGUUGCACGGGAUGAUACCAUUCUUAUGGAGUGUGUUGAUUUUAUUGGAGAUGAUAUUGAAGUUUGGGAUAUUAGCAUCAUUGGCAAAGAGUGGAAAAAGAGUUCAUCUUAAUGUUUACGGACUAGCAAGGAAGAGACUAACGAGAAAGGCGACUAUGACUAUUAUGCUUUUCUGUUAAAAAAGAUGAUAUAGGUUGCUUAGUUUCGUCAUCUUUUUUACCAGUAGACCAAGAUGAUAAUGAGCAAUUGGAAGAUAACUUGGUAUUCAAUCACUUGGUUGCAUUUUUUGAAAAAAGUUGUUGAUGCUGUGAAGAGUAUGCAUGAUCCUCAAGUGGAAAGUCUUGGAGCCAGAGUGAAGGAAAUCAUGGCAAAGACGAAUGAUGAGCUCAAACGCACCUGAGAAAAGCUAGGUUUUUUUUUUUUCCAGAUCGGCACUCUGUUGCUAGUAAUUCUCUCCUGAAGAAACUUCUAGUCAGUGAUGCUUGCUUUUGGAAAAAAAUAUUUUGGUCAAGAGAUGGACUAGCUCAUGUAAUAGUGACCGUAAAGAAAGUUGGUUGUUGGGAUCUGAUUUUUCUUCAUUAGGCUAGGAUAACAGUGUGUGGCUCGGAAAGCUUUUGUAUAGCUACCCAGCCAAUUGAAUGAUGUUAUGAUGAUAGCUUUACUUUUAUGGCUAGGCAAACUCUUCUUUGUCUUC